rnacentral:rRNA from 1 species
CCUACGGGAGGCAGCAGUAGGGAAUAUUGGGCAAUGGACGGAAGUCUGACCCAGCCAUGCCGCGUGCAGGAUGAAGGCGUUAUGCGUUGUAAACUGCUUUUUUAUAGGAAGAAGGAGACCUUGCGAGGUUUGGUGACGGUACUAUAAGAAUAAGCACCGGCUAACUCCGUGCCAGCAGCCGCGGUAAU